rnacentral:lncRNA from 1 species
AUUCAUGAUGAGGUUCAUUGAUUUAUCCAUAUUUCUUUAAAGACACGUCUUACCAUUAUACGUAUUUUAAAUAGGAUUCUUUCAAAAUUUAUUCCUACCACAUUAUAUGAGAUAUGGUAUGGUAAGAAGUUGAGUCUGAGUUACCUUAAGACUUAAGGAUGUCCAGCCUAUGUUAAAAGACAGAAAGCUGACAAGUUAGAGGAUAGAUCUAUUAUAGCUCAGUUUAUAGGAUAUUCUAAGAAAUUC